ACGCUCCCCAGCAGAGCUGCUGGGCUCAGAGCAGGACUCUGGACUGCUUGUGGAAACUGCGCAGCUCAGCGCUGUCGUGGACAGUGUCUGGGAGGAAGUCAAGCGAGGGAGGAAUCCGGCUGAGGUUGGACACCGAGGGCCAGGAGGAAUCCGGCUGAGGUUGGACAACGAGGGCCAUGUUCCCGGUGGGCAGAUGUCUCCUCUCUUUUACAAAGAGAUCAGUCCUUGGAUUUAAGUCCCAGGAUCCCCUUCAAGGUCAAAACCCCGUGACCUAACUUCCUCCCUCAAGGCUCCGCCUCUUCCCUUCCCAAGAGCACCUGGGGCAGGCUUGUGCUACAGUAUGACCUGGAGGGGUGCAACUCCGUUCCUACCUCCGCCCCCCUCUCUGCUUCCUGGCCAUUGUGAGGUGAGCCACUCUCCUCCCCGAGACCCGUCCCCCCAAGUCCUUUCUGCCUGGAGCCUGCCCUCCUGGGGCUCAAGUGGCAGCCAAAGUAAACCUCUCCCCCUUUAAAUUAUGGGUGUCAGAUAUUCUGGCUCAACCACAAGGAGUGAUGAUGACACCCCCAGACCUCACACUGUCCUGAUCUGGGAG